ensembl:lncRNA
AAGCACUUUUAAGUUUGUCUUCUCAUCUUGGUCCUCCCAUUCACCCACUGAAGGCCGAGGUUGAUCAUCACUGUCUUUUCUGAUGCCCAGGAGGUUAUACAGCUUGUCCUAGGUGUCUUGGCUGGUGAAGGGCAGAGCCAGGGUUUACACAGAGAGGCCCCUGGCUCCAGACCCCGCUCCUCUUUCCUUGGCACCAUGUGGAUCUUGGCCCCAUUCUCCAGACAGUGGUCCUGGGGACUGCUUUUCUCCCACUCUAAGGUGUUGGGAGCACUCCAGGAAGGCUCUGCAGACUACGGAGACUGUAAGGGCUCCCGUCCCGGGGUGAUUUCUUCCUUCAGUUAACCUUAGGAACAGUAGGCGAGACCACCAGAAGCAUAAUAAAUAUGCAAGUGUUUUGUAAACCAAAGUACUUCUGAGUUGUAAUGUUACCUUCAGAGGAGGUUCUGGUGUCCUGCGAAGUGUAAAGGGACGAAGGUAAAGCUCUCUUGAAUAAUGUUGUCUGCCAAGACAAAUGAAGCCAAAGUGAUCAGCUCCUCUCCCUCCCCUGCUCCUUUUCAUCUUCACUUAUUUAAAGACAUUCGCAGGCUGAAAAAUGGUCCCUGCCCGCUCCUCCAACGUCCGGAAUUUGCCUUGUGAUUGGCAGUGUUACUCCAAAAUAGCUUGAUUUUUUUUCUUUCAUUUCUUGAUUAAUGUCCUGUGCGCCUCGGCCCUAUAAUUGAAAACUGGGCUUGCAACAUUCAGCAUUCAAGCGCCUUCUCUUGGAAGCUCAGAAAUAAUAGACUCUCCCAUCGGGGACCUGGUGCUCCCAGUGGCUGAGGGACCUGUUCCUGCUCAGCAAGGGGACUCACCACAGUGCAUGCUAACCUAAAAUCCACCUUACCUCGGUGAUAUUUUUGCCAGUCUCCUAUUUGGUUUGAUGAAUGCAAGAUAGAUGUUUCCACAUGGCAUAUGAAUUUCUCCCUCACAUAAGUCUGCCGUGGGUGAAGUGGUCCUCCAGGACGAGCCCCUCCACUCAGCUCCAGCUGCCACUCCAUGGUGGCCUCCUGUCGCCUCAGGAUGACAGUACAAUGGCUGCUCCAAGAAAAUGACCAUGUUGAUCUCACAACCACGGAGAGCACCCCACGCCUAC